GUGGGGAAUCUUAGACAAUGGGGGAAACCCUGAUCUAGCCAUGCCGCGUGAUCGAUGAAGGCCUUAGGGUUGUAAAGAUCUUUCAGGUGGGAAGAUAAUGACUGUACCACCAGAAGAAGCCCCGGCUAACUCCGUGCCAGCAGCCGCGGUAAUACGGAGGGGGCUAGCGUUUUUCGGAAUUACUGGGCGUAAAGCGCACGUAGGCGGAUUGGAAAGUUGGGGGUGAAAUCCCGGGGCUCAACCCCGGAACUGCCUUCAAAACUCCCAGUCUUGAGUUCGAGAGAGGUGAGUGGAAUUCCGAGUGUAGAGGUGAAAUUCGUAGAUAUUCGGAGGAACACCAGUGGAGAAGGCGGCUCACUGGCUCGAUACUGACGCUGAGGUGCGAAAGCGUGGGGAGCAAACAGGAUUAGAAACCCUGGUAGUCC
rnacentral:rRNA from 1 species